UACGAAAGGGGCUAGCGUUGCUCGGAAUCACUGGGCGUAAAGGGUGCGUAGGCGGGUCUUUAAGUCAGGGGGGAAAUCCUGGAGCUCAACUCCAGAACUGCCUUUGAUACUGAGGAUCUUGAGUUCGGGAGAGGUGAGUGGAACUGCGAGUGUAGAGGUGAAAUUCGUAGAUAUUCGCAAGAACACCAGUGGCGAAGGCGGCUCACUGGCCCGAUACUGACGCUGAGGCACGAAAGCGUGGGGAGCAAACAGG
rnacentral:rRNA from 1 species